CCUACGGGUGGCAGCAGUGAGGAAUAUUGGUCAAUGGGAGAGAUCCUGAACCAGCCAAGCCGCGUGAGGGAAGACGGCCCUAUGGGUUGUAAACCUCUUUUGUCGGAGAACAAAACCCGGGACGAGUCCCGCACUGCGUGUAUCCGAAGAAAAAGCAUCGGCUAACUCCGUUCCAGCAGCCGCGGUAAUACGGAGGAUGCGAGCGUUAUCCGGAUUUAUUGGGGUUAAAGGGUGCGUAGGCGGUCUGUUACGUCAGCGGUAAAAGUGGGGGGCUCAACCCCGUCGAGCCGUUGAAACUGGCAGACUUGAGUGGGCGAGAAGUACGCGGAAUGCGCGGUGUAGCGGUGAAAUGCAUAGAUAUCGCGCAGAACGCCGAUGGCGAAGGCAGCGUACCGGCGCCAGACUGACGCUGAGGCACGAAAGCGUGGGGAUCGAACAGGAUUAGAUACCCUUGUAGUC
rnacentral:rRNA from 1 species